GUAAAUUAAGAUCUUAUGCUCAUGGUAAUUAAUUGAUGUACAAAAAAUGGAAAAAAAUAAAAAAUAAUACCUUAGCUACCCUAAAUAACCACGAAUUAGAAGGCCAAAAUAGAUAUCAUCAUCAUCGUCAGAGCUUUAUCCUAACUAUUUAAGGGUGGUAGUUCUAUAUACGAGAACGUUGAGGCGAACAACUAGUGGCCAACUCUCUUCAGCAAUCUCGGAUCUAAGAGCCCUUUUGGCCAUCCUACUGCUGCUACUAAGGUAAGAACACUCCCUAAGUCCGCUUUUGCUGCCUCUUGUACAAGGCUAUCCUUUCAGUUAAGAAGAGCAG
rnacentral:lncRNA from 1 species